rnacentral:rRNA from 1 species
AUUGAACGCUGGCGGCAGGCCUAACACAUGCAAGUCGAGCGAGCGGCGGACGGGUGAGUAAUGUAUGGGGACUGCCCGAUAGAGGGGGAUAACUACUGGAAACGGUGGCUAAUACCGCAUACUAUCGGAUAACCCAUAUGGGAUUAGCUAGUAGGUGGGGUAAAGGCUCACCUAGGCGACGAUCCGUAGCUGGUCUGAGAGGAUGAUCAGCAACACUGGAACUGAGACACGGUCAAGACUCCUAAGGAGUCAGCAGUGGGUAUUAUUGGAUAAUGGGCGGAAGCCUGAUGCAGCAAUGCCGCGUGUAGGAAGAAGGCCUUAGUGUUGUAAAGUACUUUCAGCGGGGAGGCGGUACCCGCAGAAGAAGCACCGGCUAACUCCGUGCCAGCAGCCGCGGUAAUUC